GGUUAAGUGACUAAGCGUACAUGGUGGAUGCCUUGGCAGUCAGAGGCGAUGAAGGACGUACUAACCUGCGAUAAGCCGUGAGCAGUCGGUAAGAGACAUUACGACUCACGGAUUUCCGAAUGGGGAAACCCACUUAGCAUAAGCUAGGUAUCGCUACGUGAAUACAUAGCGUAG
rnacentral:rRNA from 1 species